rnacentral:rRNA from 1 species
AUUGAACGCUGGCGGCAGGCCUAACACAUGCAAGUCGAGCGGAAACGAUCCUAGCUUGCUAGGAGGCGUCGAGCGGCGGACGGGUGAGUAACGCGUGAGAAUCUACCCAUGAGUGGGGGACAACCCGGGGAAACUCGGGCUAAUACCGCAUACGCCCUACGGGGUAAAGCAGGGGACCUUCGGACCUUGCGCUAUUGGAUGAGCCUAUGUCGGAUUAGCUGGUUGGUGGGGUAAAGGCCUACCAAGGCGACGAUCUCUAGCUGGUCUGAGAGGAUGAUCAGCCACACUGGGACUGAGACACGGCCCAGACUCCUACGGGAGGCAGCAGUGGGGAAUCUUGCACAAUGGGCGAAAGCCUGAUGCAGCCAUGCCGCGUGAAUGAUGAAGGCCUUAGGGUUGUAAAAUUCUUUCGCCAGGGAUGAUAAUGACAGUACCUGGUAAAGAAGCCCCGCUAACUU